CAGACACACUUUAACUACCAGUUCAAUGCACCCCACUUACACUUACUAAAUGGCACUUUAAAAUUUCUUGUGUCCCCUAAUCCCACUUACAUUAUAAACUUGUUUAAAGGGACUCUAUAGUGUCAGGAAAACAAAGCCGUUUUCCUGGCACUAUAGAAUCCUACAGUGCCCCCCUCCCGCGGCACUUAAGGGGUUAAAACUCCUUCAGUUACUUAUCUGAAUCCAGCGGCGAGGGACAUCAACC